CUACGGGGUGCUCCAGUCGAGAAUCUUUCUCAAUGGGCGAAAGCCUGAAGAUGCGACGCCGCGUGAGGGAUGAAGGCCUUCGGGUCGUAAACCUCUUUUGUUAGGGAGGAAAAGCAAACGGUAAACAAUCGUUUGUGCUGACUGUACCUGGCGAAUAAGCCACGGCUAACUCCGUGCCAGCAGCCGCGGUAAUACGGAGGUGGCAAGCGUUACUCGGUUUGACUAGGUGUAAAGGGUCCGUAGGUGGCCUUGCAAGUGGAAGGUGAAAUCCUUUGGCUUAACCAAAGAACUGCCUUUCAAACUGCAUGGCUGGAGGAUAGAAGGGGAUAGUGGAACUGCUAGUGUAAAGGUGAAAUUUGUGGAUAUUAGCAGGAACGCCUGUGGAGAAGUCGACUAUCUGGUCUAUACCUGACACUGAGGGACGAAAGCUAGGGGAGCAAACAGGAUUAGAUACCCCUGUAGUC
rnacentral:rRNA from 1 species